AUUGCCUCUCCAUCUUUCAUUAGAUGUAUCAUAUAUGACAUUAUUUUUUAGAAAAAUGUUUCUCUUGCUGCAGUUGUUUUGGGCACCAGAGUUUGGAUAUAAGUGGAUAUCAAAUCCUGAAUUAUAUUACUAAGUGGGAGUCUAGGGUUUUUGUAGGAAUUGGAGUUUGGAACUUCGAAGUUCAGCAUGACCCGCUUGAGCUCCAAGCAGAUAUUGCAGGAGAAUCAGACUGACGACCACAAUGCAAUCUCCGCUCUUUCACUCAAUCACAAAGCUCUCUCCCAUAUUUCGUGCUUGGCUGACUUCAAGAACUUGGAGAGGCUCGAUCUUAGCUUUAACAAUCUUACAUCGCUCCAGGACUUGAAGUUAUGCGUCAAUUUGAAGUGGCUAUCAGUUUUACAAAACAAACUCCAAAGCUUGGAAGGAAUUGAAGAGCUUUCUAAGCUUACUGUGUUAAAUGCGGGCAAAAAUAAGCUUAGAUCAAUGGAUGAGGUUAGGUCUCUUGUAAGUCUACGUGCAUUAAUCUUGAAUGACAAUGAGAUUGGUUCCAUUUGCAGACUUGAUAGAAUGAAAGAUUUGAACACCCUUGUUCUUUCCAGAAAUCCAGUCCAUGAAAUUGGUGAGUCUUUGGUCAAGUUGAAAUCAAUCACAAAGCUUUCUCUCUCUAAAUGCCAAAUUCAAUCCAUUGGCUCUUCACUUAAGUCCUGCAUCGAAUUGAAAGAGCUUCGACUUGCUCACAAUGAUAUCAAGACGCUCCCUGCUGAGUUGGCAUAUAAUACAAAACUCCAGAAUCUGGACUUGGGAAACAAUUUAAUCACUAGUUGGUCAGAUCUGAAGGUGAUACGUUCACUGGUUAACCUGAAAAACUUCAAUUUACAAGGAAACCCCAUUGCUGUGAAGGAGAAGUUAGCAAAGAAGACAAAAAGGCUGCUGCCGAACUUGCAGAUAUUCAAUGCAAGACCUACAGAUAAAAUCACCAAGUAUGAGAAGGGUGACAAAGUUGAUGAUUUCCCACUUAAUGUUGCUACAGAGUUAGAAGUUAAAAAGAAAGAUAAAAGAGAUCAUGGCAGGGCAGAAAAGAACAAGCAUAAUUCGAUGACUGAAAGUGGACUUGCUCAUCUUGUUAAUGGUGAUCUUGACGUGGAGAAAGAACUGAAGAAGAAAAAGCGGAAGGCAAAUGAUGAAGCAAAGAAAAAAGUUCCAAUACUUAAGGAGGAUCAUACAAUGGUUGAAAGGGAGUUAAAUAAAAAGGCAAGGAAGGUGGAGCGAGGUGGACUUAGUGCAAUUGAUGAUGGUGAAACUCCAUUCAUGGAACUUUUUGCUGCUGAAACUGCUGAAAACUCAAAAUAUAGUGUUGAAGACAGGACAGAUAAAGCUUUCCAAGACAGCAAUUCAGCUGGUGGCUCAGUUUCCUUAGGGGCUAAGAAAAAGAAAACUAAGAGGCGGGGCAUCAGUCCUUCAAUCCAGUUAUUAUCCCUGCCAGUUGAAGUUGGAUUGGGUGGGCCAUCAACAUGGGAUGAUGAGUAAUUGUAGCAUUAAGAAGCCAUGGAAAUGCACUGGGCUUCUAGGUACUCAUUUUCCAUUAGAAACAAUGAAUGUUAUUUUCAAACUUCUGCAUAUUCUCGGGUUAGGCUACACUCCUGUGAGAUACCUUGGAUUGCUUGAAAUCUAAGACAUGGGGAUGCAAGUUGGAUGGAGUUGAUAGCCUUCCUCAAUCAUAUAACCAAUGUAAUGAGUAUGAUUACCGCAAAAACUGUUGUAUUUUUAUGUUUCUGCUAACAUUAUAUUAGUACAAUCAGAGUUUUUACAUUAAUAUAAUGCUAGCAUAACAUGCAUAUUAGUA